rnacentral:rRNA from 1 species
AGUGAACGCUGGCGGUAGGCCUAACACAUGCAAGUCGAACGGCAGCACAGUAAGAGCUUGCUCUUACGGGUGGCGAGUGGCGGACGGGUGAGGAAGACAUCGGAAUCUACUUUUUCGUGGGGGAUAACGUAGGGAAACUUACGCUAAUACCGCAUACGACCUACGUGUGAAAGCAGGGGAUCUUCGGACCUUGCGCGAUUGAAUGAGCCGAUGUCGGAUUAGCUAGUUGGCGGGGUAAAGGCCCACCAAGGCGACGAUCCGUAGCUGGUCUGAGAGGAUGAUCAGCCACACUGGAACUGAGACACGGUCCAGACUCCUACGGGAGGCAGCAGUGGGGAAUAUUGGACAAUGGGCGCAAGCCUGAUCCAGCCAUACCGCGUGGGUGAAGAAGGCCUUCGGGUUGUAAAGCCCUUUUGUUGGGAAAGAAAAGCAGCAGGUUAAUACCCCGCUGUUCUGACGGUACCCAAAGAAUAAGCACCGGCUAACUUCGUG